AUACGAAGGGCCCGAGCGUUGCGCGGAAUCACUGGGCUUAAAGCGUACGUAGGCGGACAAGCAGGCAUCUUGUGAAAGCCCUCGGCUCAACCGAGGAAUUGCUUGGUGAACCGCUUGUCUUGAGGCGAGUAGGGGCUGUCGGAACGAUAGGUGGAGCGGUGAAAUGCGUUGAUAUCUAUCGGAACGCCAAAGGCGAAGGCAGACAGCUGGGCUUGUCCUGACGCUGAGGUACGAAAGCGUGGGGAGCGAACGGGAUUAGAAACCCCGGUAGUCC
rnacentral:rRNA from 1 species